CAGCGAAACUGCUGAUAAAGUUAAUUAAAUUAGGACAGCGAUGGGGUCAUUUUUCUGACACACAUAUGCUGUUUUCUGUCUCGGAAUGGCGAGACUUUGGAGGGACGAUGUGGCAUAAAACAAUCGAGGGGGAUGAAAAAGAGGAGAAGGAGAUAAAAGCCGUCCGCGAGCUGUGGAAUGCUGUGCUAGAGACUUUAAAAGCAAUGAAAGCGGAGCGGGAAGUAGCCUGUGCAGCUGCUCAAAUGUUAGGUCCGGGAGCAGCCGCCUUAAAACCUCAAGGCAAGCCUGGACCUAUUGCGCGGUUCUUCGGACUGCCCGCGGUAAAGGGAAUGACCGGGUCCACAUAUAAAACUGUUGCUGAAAUUCGAGCUAAUGAGACCCCUGACCCUCCUGGGGAGGGAAAAGAUUUGCCGCUAAACCCCUUACAAAACUCAGAAAAAGCGGAAGUAACUGGUGCUAAGCCAAAACAGAAAAGUAAUGCACAUGCGGAAGUGCCUGCUCAGAAAACUCCAGCAGAGGAGGGGCCUGAAACAUCUACGGAUCUCAUCGAUUUGGGAGGAGCAGCAUCUCGGCCUCCGCCCACGGCACCUCCUCCCGCACCUCCGCCUCCCGUGUAUCCACCGCUGCCCCCCUCCAGCGACUUGUCUGGUCCGUCAACUCCGCCUCCCGACAAGAGUCGUAAACUGUCCUCAGACACCACAGAAAAAAUGUUACAGACAGUUUUAAGGCGGCUCGAGGAGUUAGACUUACGUGCGGGGAGGAAGGAUGAUAACACGCCUUCAUGGCUAGUGAAUCCCUCAACACCUCCGAGGACUACACGCUGGAGUGGCAUUAUUAGAGACGCUGUAUUAGAAGGACAGUGGGGAGCAGCCGCUAGUCUGGGCGGAACUCCACCUUUCGCAUGUCCUGUCAUACAAGAAAACAAUACUGGAAAAUGGGAACCACAUGAUUGGAAAAUUCUACAACAAGCUCGCACCACCAUCUCAACUUAUGGAGUAAAAUCUGAAGCUACCCGACAAAUUGUCAGCUGGAUUUUUUCUGCGGAUCUGAUGUGUCCAUAUGAU
rnacentral:lncRNA from 1 species